GAUGAACGCUGGCGGCGUGCCUAAUACAUGCAAGUCGAGCGAACAGACGAGGAGCUUGCUCCUCUGACGUUAGCGGCGGACGGGUGAGUAACACGUGGAUAACCUACCUAUACGACUGGGAUAACUUCGGGAAACCGGAGCUAAUACCGGAUAAUAUAUUGAACCGCAUGGUUCAAUAGUGAAAGACGGUUUUGCUGUUACUUAUAGAUGGAUCCGCGCCGCAUUAGCUAGUUGGUAAGGUAACGGCUUACCAAGGCGACGAUGCGUAGCCGACCUGAGAGGGUGAUCGGCCACACUGGAACUGAGACACGGUCCAGACUCCUACGGGAGGCAGCAGUAGGGAAUCUUCCGCAAUGGGCGAAAGCCGGACGGAGCAACGCCGCGUGAGUGAUGAAGGUCUUCGGAUCGUAAAACUCUGUUAUUAGGGAAGAACAAAUGUGUAAGUAACUAUGCACGUCUUGACGGUACCUAAUCAGAAAGCCACGGCUAACUACGUG
rnacentral:rRNA from 1 species